rnacentral:rRNA from 1 species
GAAUUUUGGACAAUGGGCGACAGCCUGAUCCAGCAAUGCCGCGUGCAGGAUGAAGGCCUUCGGGUUGUAAACUGCUUUUGUACGGAACGAAAAGCUUUGGGUUAAUACCCUGGAGUCAUGACGGUACCGUAAGAAUAACCACCGGCUAACUAAUUGCAAGCAGCCCCGGUAAUACGAAGGGUGCAAGCGUUACUCGGAAUUACUGGGCGUAAAGCGUGCGCAGGCGGUUUUGUAAGACAGAGGUGAAAUCCCCGGGCUCAAACUGGGAACUGCGUUUGUGACUGCAAGGCUAGAGUACAGCAGAGGGGGGUGGAAUUCCGCGUGUAGCAGUGAAAUGCGUAGAUAUGCGGAGGAACACCGAUGGCGAAGGCAACCCCCUGGGCCUGUACUGACGCUCAUGCACGAAAGCGUGGGGAGCAAACA